AUUGAACGCUGGCGGAAUGCUUUACACAUGCAAGUCGAACGGCAGCACGGACUUCGGUCUGGUGGCGAGUGGCGAACGGGUGAGUAAUACAUCGGAACGUGCCCAAUCGUGGGGGAUAACGUAGCGAAAGCUACGCUAAUACCGCAUACGAUCUAAGGAUGAAAGCGGGGGAUCGCAAGACCUCCCGCGAUUGGAGGGGCCGAUGGCGGAUUAGGGAGUGGGUAGGGUAAAGGCUUACCAAGCCGACAAUCUGUAGCUGGUCUGAGAGGAUGAUCAGCCACACUGGGACUGAGACACGGCCCAGACUCCUACGGGAGGCAGCAGUGGGGAAUUUUGGACAAUGGACGCAAGUCUGAUCCAGCCAUUCCGCGUGCGGGAUGAAGGCCCUCGGGUUGUAAACUGCUUUUGUACAGAACGAAAAGGCUCUGGUUAAUACCUAGGGCUCAUGACGGUACUGUAAGAAUAAGCACCGGCUAACUACGUGCCAGCCGCCGCCGUAA
rnacentral:rRNA from 1 species